AUAAAAAAUAGUAUUCUUAUAUAAAUUGAAACAUCCAUGUCCAAACUUAAAAUCAAAUCCAGAAACAUCAAGUCUUGAAAGGGAAAUCAAAUUCCUAGAAACUGAAGGAACAUAAAGAGUCUGUAAUAGAUCAAGGUGAUGUCCAGUCUCCAAGAUCAAUCGAUAAGUCCCUAUGCCUUCAAUUUGAGCCUUCAUGCGAUUUUCCAUGAACACGAAAUCCUUAUUUGGAUUUGUAGUUUGGAUCGUAGUG
rnacentral:lncRNA from 1 species